rnacentral:rRNA from 1 species
AACGAACGCUGGCGGCGUGUUUAAGACAUGCAAGUCGCACGGUAUCAUUAAUGUAGCAAUACUUUGAUGGUUCAGUGGCGCACGGGUGAGUAACACGUGAAUUACAUGCCCUUCAGAGGGGGAUAGCCCAGGGAAACUUGGAUUAAUACCCCAUGGUCUCGCAAGAGUAAAGGUGGCCGCAAGGCUGUCGCUGAAGGAUUGGUUCGCGCCCUAUCAGCUUGUUGGCGGGGUAACGGCCCACCAAGGCUACGACGGGUACCUGGUCUGAGAGGACGAUCAGGCACACUGGAACUGAGACACGGUCCAGACACCUACGGGUGGCAGCAGUCGAGAAUAAUUCACAAUGGGGGCAACCCUGAUGGUGCAACGCCGCGUGGAGGAUGACGGUCUUCGGAUUGUAAACUCCUGUCAUCCGGGAGUAAGAUCUGGGAGUGAAUAGCUCACAGGGUUGAUAGUACCGGAAGAGGAAGGGACGGCUAACUUCGUGCCAGCCGC